GGGGGCGUGGUGUAGCGGUUAACACGCCGGCCUGUCAAGCCGGAGAUCGCGGGUUCGAUCCCCGUCGUCCCCG
rnacentral:tRNA from 1 species